UUGUAUUCAUAUAGGGUCAAGGAGUGUAGUUGUAAAAAAUCAUCAAAAUCGGAGUUAAAAUGACCGUUAAAUCGUGAUUUUUCUUUUUUAUAACCGUCGAAAAGUUUUGUCCCGUUACUUGAUCUCUGAAUGUUUGUUUUUUUGCAAUUUUUGGCGUAUGCGAUCUCGAAGUAUAUACAAACAUGUUUGACGGUUGGAUCAUUGAAACUAGUUUCGUAGAAUGAGUAUCCCAUCAAAACAAUAGAUUCACUAAUACUUAAUAGUUUAUUCAUACUUUUAUUAAGUAUAACAUAAGAUUUUGUGGUAUCCACUAGUGUAAAUAUUUUAAAUUGAAGAUCGAAUUCAAUCAUUGUAUUCAUAUAGGGUCAAGGAGUGUAGUUGUAAAAAAAUCAUCAAAAUCGGAGUUAAAAUGACCGUCAAGGAGUGUAGUUGUAAAAAAUCAUCAAAAUCGGAGUUAAAAUAACCGUUAAAUCGUGAUUUUUCGUUUAUAACCGUCGAAAAGUUUUGUCCCGUUACUUUAUCUCUGAAUGUUUGUUUUUUGCAAUUUUUGGCGUAUGCGAUCUCGAAAUAUAUACAAACAUGUUUGACGGUUGGAUCAUUGAAACUAGUUUCG
rnacentral:sRNA from 1 species